AUUAGGCUUUGAUCCUGGCUCAGGAUGAACGCUAGCGGCAGGCCUCAUACAUGCAAGUCGGACGGUAGAGAUUCUUUCGGGAAUUUUGAGAGUGGCGCACGGGUGCGUAACGCGUAUGCAACCUGCCUUUUACCGGGGGAUAGCCCGGGGAAACCCGGAUUAAUACCCCAUAGUAUCAGGAGACGGCAUCGUUUUCUGAUUAAAGAUUCAUCGGUAGAAGAUGGGCAUGCGUAGGAUUAGCUAGUUGACGGGGUAACGGCCCACCAAGGCGACGAUCCUUAGGGGUUCUGAGAGGAAGGUCCCCCACACUGGCACUGAGAUACGGGCCAGACUCCUACGGGAGGCAGCAGUAGGGAAUAUUGGGCAAUGGUCGGAAGACUGACCCAGCCAUGC
rnacentral:rRNA from 1 species